rnacentral:rRNA from 1 species
AACUUAAGCAUAUCAAUAAGCGGAGGAAAAGAAACCAACAGGGAUUGCCCUAGUAACGGCGAGUGAAGCGGCAACAGCUCAAAUUUGAAAUCUGGCUCUUUUAGAGUCCGAGUUGUAAUUUGCAGAGGGCGCUUUGGCUUUGGCAGCGGUCCAAGUUCCUUGGAACAGGACGUCACAGAGGGUGAGAAUCCCGUACGUGGUCGCUGGCUAUUGCCGUGUAAAGCCCCUUCGACGAGUCGAGUUGUUUGGGAAUGCAGCUCUAAAUGGGAGGUACAUUUCUUCUAAAGCUAAAUAUUGGCCAGAGACCGAUAGCGCACAAGUAGAGUGAUCGAAAGAUGAAAAGCACUUUGGAAAGAGAGUCAAACAGCACGUGAAAUUGUUGAAAGGGAAGCGCUUGCAGCCAGACUUGCUUACAGUUGCUCAUCCGGGUUUCUACCCGGUGCACUCUUCUGUAGGCAGGCCAGCAUCAGUUUGGGCGGUAGGAUAAAGGUCUCUGUCACGUACCUCCUUUCGGGGAGGCCUUAUAGGGGAGACGACAUACUACCAGCCUGGACUGAGGUCCGCGCAUCUGCUAGGAUGCUGGCGUAAUGGCUGUAAGCGGCCCGUCUUGAAACACGGACCAAGGAGUCUAACAUCUAUGCGAGUGUUUGGGUGUCAAGCCCGAGCGCGUAAUGAAAGUGAACGGAGGUGGGAACCCGCAAGGGUGCACCAUCGACCGAUCCUGAUGUCUUCGGAAGGAUUUGAGUAAGAGCAUGGCUGUUGGGACCCGAAAGAUGGUGAACUAUGCUUGAAUAGGGUGAAGCCAGAGGAAACUCUGGUGGAGGCUCGCAGCGGUUCUGACGUGCAAAUCGAUCGUCAAAUUUGGGCAUAGGGGCGAAAGACUAAUCGAACUAUCUAGUAGCUGGUUCCUGCCGA